UGUGAAACCUGCGAUACCAGUAAUCACAGGAGAUGGCCACUGCAUGAUAGGGAGUCAGUCCUUGAGGGCUUUUUUAAAGCUAUUCCCCCAUCCACAUAUUUUGUAGGAGGGGAGGGAGGUUACACCUCACACGACCAAGCUUGUAUUUUGCCAACGGUGAGAGUGACUCAGAAAUGUCCAUGUGAAGUCCCUAUUAUAACUGUGUCACCUGGCAAAGCCGUAAUUUUAAUUUCCAUCAAUGGGCGUUAUGACAUGCACCAGCCAUUGUUUGCAUGCCAAACAUGCCAGCAGCAGCGGGCUCCAGAGUUCAUGGACCUCGUAAACAGUGCAUACUGGCCAGCUUCCACCAGCUCUUCUACUUUGUAUACCCUCA